rnacentral:rRNA from 1 species
AGGCGGGACUACCCGCUGAGUUUAA